rnacentral:rRNA from 1 species
AUGAACUUUAUGUAUGAACUUGUAUUAAUUUGGUCUAUUCGGUGUUGUGUAAUGAAGAUGAGCCGGCAAUGGAUGUAUGAUGACCGAUGCUCUCCCCAGUUCGUUGAGGGCGUGCAUACUUUUCUACUUGCGGCUGAGGCAAACAAGUGGGCGGAUGGUUUUAUGCCUUGUCCAUGUGCUGGCUGUAAGAAUGGUCGCAAUUACUCUACGUCAAGAACCAUUCACGUCCACCUGUUUGAGUCCGGUUUCAUGCCCCACUAUAAUGUUUGGACCAAGCACGGAGAAAGAGGGGUUAUGAUGGAAGACAAUGAAGAAGAGGACGAGGACAGCUAUCCUGGCCAUGGGUUCCCUGAAUACGAUGAUACAACAAUGGGGGAAGAAGCUGAGCCGGUAAUGCGGGAAGAAGCUGAGCCGGCAAUGCGGGAAGAAGCUGAAGAAGAGGCAUCGGAUGAGCCCGUUGAUGAUCUAGGUCGGGCCAUUGCCGAUGCAAAGAGAAACUGCGCAAGUGAUUUGGAGAAGAAGAAGUUGCAGUGCAUGUUAGAGGAUCACAAAAAAUUGUUGUAUCCGAAUUGCGUAGGUGACAAGAAAAAGUUGGGCACCACACUGGAAUUGCUGCAAUGGAAGGCAGAUAAUGGUGUAUCUGACAAGGGAUUUGGAAAGUUGCUGGUAAUGAUAAAGGAUAUGCUUCCAAAGGACAACGAAUUGCCCGAGAGUACGUACGAAGCAAAGAAGGUUGUCUGCCCUCUAGGGUUAGAGGUGCAGAAGAUACAUGCAUGCCCUAAUGAUUGCAUCCUCUACCGCGGUGAGUACGAGGAUUUGAAUGCUUGCCCGGUAUGUGGUGCAUUGCACUCUAAGAUCAGCCGCGAUGAGCAUGGUGAUGUCGAGGGCGAGCGCCCCAGGAAGAAGAUUCCUGCCAAGGUGAUGUGGUAUUCUCCUAUAAUACCACGGUUGAAACGUUUGUUCCAAAACAAAGAGCAUGCCAAGGCGAUGCGAUGGCACAGAGAAGACCGUAAGAAAGACGGAAAGUUGAGAGUACCCGCUGACGGGUCGCAGUGGAGAAAAAUCGAAAGAAAGUACGGGAAGGAGUUUGCAAAUGACGCAAGGAGCGGGUUUGGUCUAAGCGCAGAUGGCAUUAAUCCUUUUGCGGAGCAGAGCAGCAACCAUAGCACCUGGCCUGUGACUCUAUGUUUGUAUAACCUUCCUCCUUGGUUGUGCAUGAAGCGGAAGUUCAUUAUGAUGCCAGUGCUCAUCCAAGGCCCUAAGCAACCCGACAACGACAUUGAUGUGUACCUAAGGCCAUUAGUUGAAGAACUCUUACAACUGUGGAAUGGAACAGGUGUACGUGCGUGGGAUGAGCACAUGGGGGAAGAAUUUGACCUAAAGGCGUUGCUGUUUGUGACCAUCAAUGAUUGGCCUGCUCUCAGUAACCUUUCAGGACAGACAAACAAGGGAUACCGCGGAUGCACGCACUGUUUGGAUGAUACCGACAGUAUAUAUUUGAAUAGUUGUAAGAAGAAUGUGUACCUGGGACAUCAUCGAUUUCUUCCGAGCAGGCAUCCCAUAAGAAAGAAAGGCAAGCAUUUCAAAGGUGAGGCAGAUCACCGGACAAAGCCUCGCCACCGUACUGGUGCUGAUGUACAUGAUAUGGUCAAGGAUUUGAAGGUGAUAUUUGGAAAGGGUCCUGGCGGACAACCUGUUCCAAAGGACGCUGACGGACGUGCACCCAUGUGGAAGAAGAAAUCUAUAUUUUGGGACCUGCCAUAUUGGAAAGACCUAGAGGUCCGCUCCACAAUCAAUGUGAUGCACGUGACGAAGAAUCUUUGCGUGACCCUGCUUGGCUUCUUGGGCGUGUAUGGGAAGACAAAAGAUACACCUGAGGCACGGGAGGACCAGCAACGUAUGCACGGAGAAUACGACAUACAUCAGGGUCAUGCAAGCUACGCUCUUACCAAAGAAGAGAAGGAAAUCUUCUUUGAAUGCCUGCUCAGUAUUAAGGUACCAUCUGGCUUCUCGUCGAAUAUAAAGGGAAUAAUAAACAUGGCAGAGAAAAAGUUCCAGAACCUAAAGUCUCAUGACUGCCACGUGAUUAUGACGCAACUGCUUCCGGUUGCAUUGAGGGGGCUUCUACCGGAAAACGUUCGAUUAGCCAUUGUGAAGCUAUGUGCAUUUCUCAAUGCAAUCUCUUAG